rnacentral:lncRNA from 1 species
CUUGCUUUAAGGCCGUGGCCUCUGUCUGCCUCUCUAAUUCUGAAUUCUCUGGCCUCAGGUCUUCCUCCCCAAACAACACCAACCCAUUUGGUUCCACAUUCUGCUUUGGUCUUCAGCGAAUGAUCUUUGAGGUCAUGCAGAACAACCACAUUGCCUCGGUGACCCUGUAUGGCCCCCCUAGGCCUGGUAGCCACCUGAGAACAGCGGAGCUCCCCUAGGGACACCACCACCCAUGCCUCUCUGUCCCGUGGAACUGUGCAUCACAUCCUGCUCAGUGGGCCUCUGUACCACCCUGUGGGUUUUCUUGGACACCUGGCCAGUGCUGAAGGGCUGUUGUGAUGUUCUGAGGUUGGGCUCAGGCUGGGUGCUCUGCCAUGGGCUGAGUGGCCCAGAUAUUCUUCUGUCCAUCUGUGGCCUGCUGGUGCCAGCAGGGGACACAGACUGCAAAGAGAAGCACAAAGUUUGAGCCUUGAUUCCUGGACCCAGGAGCUCUCAACUAACAAGGAGGCAGGAGAGGUCAACCCUUGUCCCAUGCACAUUGGGAAGACUUGGGGCUCUUUCUGUGACUGAGGACACAGGCACCCAGGAUAAGGACAAGGUCCUGCCUUUGGCUCCACAUUGCCACAUGACCCUUAAGGCAAGCAGGUAGCGUGUCCAUAGUACUUGGUUGCGACAUUUGCACUACAUCCACUUUAGUUACUUGAUGAGCUGGCUGUGGCCAGGGUGGCCCACCUGCCCUUCCCUGUUCCUUUCUUGCACGCGCUCCCUGCCUGGGCACACCAAACUGGUUGAAACACAGCUUUCUACCAUCCAGGUACAUGCCCAGGCCUGGUUCUCACCCCUGUUGGAGUCAGCUUUCAAGAUUGCCUGUGCCCCUGCUCUGCCCCAUCCUGGCUGGCAGGGCUGCAUGUUUCCAUCCUGUUUGCCUCUUUUAUUUAAUGCCAAAGUUUUAGCCAAAGACAUCUUCCUACUUUUGUUGUGUUUCAGCAUUCUGUUCUGCACUGUGGGCUGGCUCUCUGCCCCAACCCUGGGCACUGGCCCCUGGCUGGGCCAUUUCAUGGCUCAAAGCCUCUGGGGGCUCAAGGAAGGCUGGGCUGCUCAGUCCCUUCAUGGGUCUUGCUAAUGGAAAGUAGCAUAUAUGUGCUUUAAAAAUAUUAAUCCUUUUGAAAAGAAUUGAGAAGAGAAAUGUAUAAUUUUAUCCCAUUUUUAAUAUUUUGGUCUAGCAACUUGUGAUACAUAGAUGACAAUUUUGUGAGUUUUUCAAAUGUGUGUACAGAUUUUUGUAAAUAUGACUCUUUUGUAAUUAACUCAUGUACAGCCUCAUCCUGUAUAGUUUAAUGAUGAACGUGCAGGGGACCUGUCUCAGGCUCCUAUAUGGUUCCUGGGCCUUAUAGCCAGGUUUGUGUGGCGCUCCCGACUUUUGUGACUGACUGGUGUCUUCCCAUUUGGACUGUGGCCUGGCCAGAGCCCCUUGCAUAUCCCCACUGUCAGGGGCAGCCAGGACUGUUCCCAUCCUCCUGGAAUGGGGGAACCUUCCUUAUCCCCUGCCCACAUCCCCUCUCCAAUAAAGCACCUGUGCCCUCAGCAAUGGCCUGCCAUGUGCUGUUGCUGGGAUGUUUGUACUAAGGUAAGUGUGGGUAUUGGUUUUUUGAGCAAGGGGGUGGUUGAAGCAUAUGGGGAAAUUAAUAGUGGUGGCAUCUCAGGGGAAGACAUUCCUUGGCUCCUCUGAGGGGAUACAGCCUCCAGUGGGAGACUGGCAUUGUUGUGUGAGUUCAGGAGGUGGGGAAAGAUUAGGUAGGACCGUGCACUCAUUUGUCCCUUAUGUGUGGCUCCAUCCCUGGUGCUCAGCCACACCUGGGCCCAGGAGAGGUUGUGGGAAGCAUAAUGUCUGUUUUCAGAUGAGCUGUGGCAAAGUGCCUGCCAGGUUCAUGAAUUCAAGCUGUGGCGGCCGGAGCCCCUCCACCUCCCUGUGGGGCCUGGCCUUGAGAGCCUCUGCAUGCGUCCGAGUCAGCCUAGGGGUUCCAAAUCCAGCAGAGUGGUAGGAUUCCCUAAGUCCCUGCCACCCCACCAGAACACACCUCUGUGCUACUAGGAGGACCAGAUAUAUCCACUGCUCUGGGACCUGUUGGACAAGAGAUGGUCAUAUACCACCCAGCCUUGGCUCGCUCAAAGGGUCACCAUUACACGGGUUUCAACUGGUUCCAGCAGGGUGGACCGCCAGGAGCCAAGCUUAACCCCCAUCCCCUGGGAUCCUGUGGAGACAGGCACCUGGUGAUCAGGGAAGAACCACAUACACGGCAAUAAUCUGGGAAACCGGCUCCAUCCUGGGUCUGAGUUAGGAGCUUGGGGCUGUAGUGGGGAGCUAGGAGUCCCAUUGGAAGGGGCCUGCAGCGACAGGCUGUGGAUGCGCACAGGCUGGCCCAUGCGGCCCGAGCAGCAGGCGCCACAUAAGCCAGAUGUCAGCGGCCGAG